rnacentral:lncRNA from 1 species
CUGUAUCUACGGGUAAAUUUUGGCCUGCAGUUAUCCUUUAUUGAAAGCUUUAUGGAAAUACUUCAUUCUUGCUAUGCACAAAUAUUUACAUUCUGGUAGGAAGAUUUUUUUUCCCCUUCUAUUUCUUUGUGAGGUUUUUGGUUUUUUUCCCCCUGCUUGAUGCCAUAAGCACAAAGAAAGUAUAAUGCUUUGUCAGGUAAUAUUUAUUACUUGUUACGUCUGUAUUUAUAAAUUGUUUUAUUUAGUAAUAUAAAGUCUUCAACCUAUAUAUUCUCAUAGGUCUGAAAGAAAAAAAAAUGUCUGCCCAUAUUGGAAGUACUGUCGACUUGUCAGACUGUAGUGAGCCAUCCAGGUCUCCUGAGAACAUUUUUUCUGAGUGACUCCGGCUUCCAGAGACAUUUGCCAUGAGAAGGGUUCCAAUCCUUUCCUGUAUUUGCCCUGAGUCAUGAAUGGAUAUGUGUGAUGCCUGCAAGUAAAACUGGGUGGCAAACGAAAGGACCAGUGUUUCAAAGCAGGCACUUGAAAUACCAGGUUGAAUUAUGGAUGUGUGGCCAACCAGCAUCUGGAGUAAGAUAAAGUGUUCGAGUAACGUGCCCUCUGGA